GGAGCAAGAUGCAAACAGGAAGUUCCUCAGUCCAAACACAAGAGGCUGGUCAAAAAAUACCUGGCAUCAAGACCUGGAGGUGGACAUCAAGAAGAUGGGGCGUACCUCAGGGGCAGCUGGAAUGAAUGGCCCAGGAUCGCAAUGCCUGGAAAGCUCUUGCUGAUGGCCAAUGCCCCAGACGAGACAACAAGCAGAGAUGAGAUGAGAUGAGAUGCUGCUGCUUAUUCUUCUGCAGUUUUUUCAAGAUAUUGACCCCAACCCAACUUAAAUGAACACAAGACGUUUUGGAAUCAAAGUCUUGCUGCUUGCUUCAUCAGAGAGCCACCAAAUUUAAAAUGACACCUCUGGACAAUCUCACCCAACACAUGCAUGCUUCUUCCUCCCAUUGGCAGCAAUGCAUUUUUGGCCCCAUGGUAAUACAGUACAAUGCCCAUCAGAAGCCAAGCUCUCCUGCUAUACAACUUCAUUUCAUAGUUUUAACCAACUUGUCCAACACACAUCCAUCCACCUAUCAUAAGUCACAGUCAUCAUGUUCUUUGUGCUGCGGUGGUGCAAUCACACUUGCAUUUUCUUCAGGAAAUGCAUUCGUCUAGUUUUAUUUCAUAAAACAACUUCGUUGUAUGUUUUCGACAGUAGAAACAAAAAAAGAACCAAUGUAAAUCUGAACUUUUCUUUCAAACACUUUUUUGUUGUUAUUUUUGUUUGUUUCUGAGUAAUGUACCAUUCCCAAUUGAGUUGACGCAAGGGGUCGGCGUUUUUAGGUGAGCACUGAGAGUCUAUUUGAAUAUCUUAAGAUCUAUAAUUGAUAACUUUCACAUUUUUGCUCAAAAUUUGGAACGUUUUGUGUUGAGCAAUGAAAGCGUACGUAGCAGGUCCAAUAAAUAUAAUUAUAAUACAUAGGGCCAAAUUACUCAAUUCUGAUUGGUCAAUCAAGGAGGGCUUUUUUCCUUAACACGGGGCCGUAUUUCUGAAAUGCUCUUGGCUAGCUCGUUGCUUGGUUACGGUUACAAAAAUUAGCAAAUUGUGUCAACAAAAUGGCUUUUGUAAAGAAGUUCCAAUAAAAUUUUGUAAACCACUUUCAAAAUCCUCGUGUCGUGUCAUGAUGAAAGCCGCUUUAGAAACUGAUUCAAACGUGCAAGAUAGUCUCGCGCCCUGAUUGGUUCAGAAAACGUGAAUGACAAAUGUUGUGAACUUGAACGGCUUCCGAAGUAUGAAUUUGGCCCUAUAUAUU